rnacentral:rRNA from 1 species
CCUACGGGAGGCAGCAGUAGGGAAUCUUCCACAAUGGGCGAAAGCCUGAUGGAGCAACGCCGCGUGGGUGAAGAAGGUUCUCGGAUCGUAAAACCCUGUUGUUAGGGAAGAAAGUGCGUAAGAGUAACUGUUAACGGUACGACGGUACCUAACCAGAAAGCCACGGCUAACUACGUGCCAGCAGUCGCGGUAAUACGUAGGUGGCAAGCGUUAUCCGGAUUUAUUGGGCGUAAAGGGUUCGCAGGCGGUCUUAUAAGUCUGAUGUGAAAGGCUUCGGCUUAACCGGGGUAGUGCAUAGGAAACUGUGAGACUAGAGAGCAGAAGAGGGAAGUGGAAUGCAGGGUGUAGCAGUGAAAUGCGUAGAUAUAUGGAAGAACACCAGUGGCGAAGGCGGCUCUCUGGUCUUUAACUGACGCUGAGGUACGAAAGCGUGGGGAGCAAACAGGAUUAGAUACCCGGGUAGUC